GACGAACGCUGGCGGCGUGCCUAAUACAUGCCAGUCGAACGCUUCUUUCCUCCCGAGUGCUUGCACUCAAUUGGAAAGAGGAGUGGCGGACGGGUGAGUAACACGUGGGUAACCUACCCAUCAGAGGGGGAUAACACUUGGAAACAGGUGCUAAUACCGCAUAACAGUUUAUGCCGCAUGGCAUAAGAGUGAAAGGCGCUUUCGGGUGUCGCUGAUGGAUGGACCCGCGGUGCAUUAGCUAGUUGGUGAGGUAACGGCUCACCAAGGCCACGAUGCAUAGCCGACCUGAGAGGGUGAUCGGCCACACUGGGACUGAGACACGGCCCAGACUCCUACGGGAGGCAGCAGUAGGGAAUCUUCGGCAAUGGACGAAAGUCUGACCGAGCAACGCCGCGUGAGUGAAGAAGGUUUUCGGAUCGUAAAACUCUGUUGUUAGAGAAGAACAAGGACGUUAGUAACCGAACGUCCCCUGACGGUAUCUAACCAGAAAGCCACGGCUAACUACGUG
rnacentral:rRNA from 1 species